rnacentral:rRNA from 1 species
AUUGAACGCUGGCGGAAUGCUUUACACAUGCAAGUCGAACGGCAGCACGGGUGCUUGCACCUGGUGGCGAGUGGCGAACGGGUGAGUAAUAUAUCGGAACGUAUCCAAUAAUGGGGGAUAACUAAUCGAAAGGUUGGCUAAUACCGCAUACGCCCUACGGGGGAAAGCUAGGGACCUUCGGGCCUGGCGUUAAUGGAGCGGCCGAUAUCUGAUUAGCUAGUUGGUGGGGUAAUGGCCUACCAAGGCGACGAUCAGUAGCUGGUCUGAGAGGAGGACAAGCCAAACUGGAACUGAGACACGGUCCAGACUCCUACGGGAGGCAGCAGUGGGGAAUUUUGGACAAUGGGCGCAAGCCUGAUCCAGCCAUUCCGCGUGAGUGAAGAAGGCCUUCGUGUUGUAAAGCUCUUUCGCAAGGGAAGAAAACUUAUCCUCUAACAUAGGAUGAGGUUGACGGUACCUUGAUAAGAAGCACCGGCUAACUACGUGCCAGCCGCCGCCGUAAAAC